rnacentral:lncRNA from 1 species
UGAACACAUCCCACAUAGCUUCACCUUUAUUAAUUCAUAUUUUCCUGCUAACUUUCUUGUUUCUUUGAUGGCAUCAAUCCGCUUUUGCAAGAAAAAAACAAAUGCUCUAGUGAUUUGGAAGAACAACUCAUCCUCAUGUUCUCAAUUCUGUAAAAAAAAAUGGGCGAAGGAAACGCGUAAUAUUUUGGGGUCCGAAAUUCAAAAUAUUGAAUCAUUAGAAAAAAAGCAGCAACAUCACAAAAGAAUAAUAUCAAAAGAUGUAUCGACUGAAAUGUAUGAGAGUGAGAGAGAUUUUACGGGUUUUCCAGAGCGGACGUCGAAGGAUUUGCAGCAGGAGAUUACAGAUGGGGAUAAAGACACUCGUCAUGGAUAAUACAUAAUAGGGUGGAGCUCUACGUUAUUUUCUUUGUUUUUAUGGUAUUUCAUUUGGUAUAUAUGUAGUGGAGGAUUACGUGGGAUUGUGGGGAAGUUGU